UUUAGAGAAAAAAGUUCUGCGAAAGUUCGACGGAACGAUGAGCUGUAUGGGAUAUACGACGACAUUGAUAUAGUUCAGCGAAUUAAAAGCGGUUACGCUGGCUAGGUCGCACAAACACUCCAGCUCUGAAAAAGAAGAAGUUGCUACUAAUGAUAUAUCUAAUAGAGACUGAUCUUAUGUCUGUAUUGUAUCAAACCUCCGGAUCAGGGGAAGCUUGUCUCGCCUGCAGGAACUGACCAGGCUAUCCACAGCCUCUCUAGGUACUGUGGAAGCCUCUCUCUGAAACCGCUAUUGCCCUCCCUGCGAGGGUCCUAAUGCCCUGCCUUUUUAGUACGCUACCGUUACUUCCCAAUUCGGCCCGGUGUUGGGAAAGCGCCGUUAGAAUACAGGCGAAUUUACCUCCUGGCAGCAAAUCAUCCAAUGGGCACGACAGUCGCAUAACAGCCCGGAUUAGGAGGUGAAGUUGGUCGCCGCACGCAUUCAUGCAUUGUUGGAAGAUGUCGAAUAUAGCUUGCGGCCUAAGACCCGCACCACGAAAAGGUGCCUGCCUUUCGCAAAGAUAUAUAAGGUCAUAGUAGAUAACUCAUUUAUUUAACUACUCCGAAUUUUAGUCCUUGGAAUUGUUAUUAGGUUGUCCAUUGGUCUCACCAUCAUAUACACCUACCUCGAUUAGUUUUAGGUGUUACAAUCUUUAGUUAAAAAAUUAUAUGAUAUGUAUAAUGUCUUAUAAGGGUAUAAAAAUAAAAAUUUUCGAGGUAUUUGGAUAUCUGAUCAAAGUUUAAUUUCCUCGCACAUUUUGCAUAGUCGUGGAUAUCUUGUUAUAAUCGUAUCGCAAAGUCCACGCAUCAUUCCUUUAUUGAUUGAAUUAUUUGUGUGAAUAUUGUACUUAUCAACGCAAUUGUUUCCAUUAUCAGUGGAAUUUAUUGAACAAUAAAUGACCAAUUCUCCUUUACGCACAUGUAAUAUAUUUGAAAAAAAAAGUAAGAAAGGGCUAAGUUCGGGUGCAACUGUCAUUUUAUGAUCUUGCAGGGAAAUACCUUAAGGUGUAAAACGUCAACCAGAAGAUCGAAAUCCAAGCAAUUUAAUAUAUAUGUACAUAUAUUAUAUAUACAUAACUCAAUAUACAUAUAGUAUAUGGGAGUUGGGUUAGUAUCGAUCUUAUUUUAUCUAUUAACUACUAUCACGCCACAAAGUAAAAAAAAGUUCCUGGGGUUUCAUUUACCUCACACACAAACACCAAUCAUAUGGAGCAAUGUCAGCCGGAUGUUCGAAAAUCCUGAUAUAAGUUAUAAGGCAGCUAAUUCCAAUUGUAUCUAUUUUAGGCACAAAGAACAUGUUCUGUAAUUUUCAUUAAGUUAACUCAAAUAUUUGCCGAUAUAUCCAGCAUAACGUCAUCUGGAAGUUCGAAAAUCGUUAUAUAGUUAUAUGGUGUUCUGGAAGGUAUUGACUCGAUUCAACCAAUUUUUGAUACACAAAUAUACUUGCUUGGAAUAGAUUUUGUCUGAAUUUCAAUUGUAUAUCUCGACCAUUGACUGAUAUUUUCUGUCAAGCGUCAACUAUAAGUACUGGGGUCCGCAUAUUCAUUACCUAAGGGCUUGAACAAUUUUGGAAUAUAUAUAUAUCGUCACCUGAAAUGCAAAAUAACGUAUCAUCAAAAAAUUCGAAAUUGAGUGUGUUAUUGAUUACGCUUCACUACUUCAAAUUACAUACAUAAUAUUACAUAUGUUCAACAUUUUCUGGUUCUGCGGUCAUAUUUAAACCAGUUUUAACCAAUAUUAAUAUUUUGUUUCACUCAUGUUCCAUUUUAUUUCGUGUUUCAUUCAUGCCACUGUAAAUUUAUGAAA